rnacentral:rRNA from 1 species
GUUAUAAAUAUAGCUUAAUAUAAAUAAAUAUACCUAAUUAGUAUUCUCCUAAUAAACCAUUCUUUUAUCUUAGUAUUGGUGAUAAAAAUGAUUAUUAACGCAAUAGACAUAGUACUGUAAAGGAAUAAUGAAAUAGAAAUGAAAUAAAUCAUAAAAACAUUAAAAAGCAUAGAUUAAUUCUUCUACCUUUUGCAUCAUGGUCUAACAAGUCUAACCCGGCAAAAAGAAUUUUAGUCAGAUAUCCCGAAACUAGACGAGCUACUCCAAAGCAGCAAUAUAGAGCCAACCCUUCUCUGUGGCAAAAGAGUGGGAAGACUUUCGAGUAGGGGUGAUAAUCCUAUCGAGCCUAGUGAUAGCUGGUUACUCAAGAAAUGAAUUUUAGUUCAGCCUAGAGUAUUUACAUUAUAAUUAAUAAAUAAAAUAAUAUUCUAGAGUUAAUUUAUAGAGGUACAGCUCUAUAAAUAAAGGAUACAACCUAUUUACAUGAAUAAAGAUUUAUACAGGGCCUUAAUUAAGUAGGCUUAAAAGCAGCCAUCAAAUAAAAGCGUCAAAGCUUAAUUUUUUAUACCCCUAAUAUCCCAUUAAUUUAACCUAACUCACAUUAACUAUUGAGUCAAUCUAUUAAAUAGAUAUGUUUAUGUUAGAAUGAGUAAUAUGAAAUACUUCUCUAAGUGUAAGUGUAAAUCAAAACGAACACCUCAUUGAUAUUUAACGAACCAUAUUGAAGGUAUAAUCCUUUUAAACAAGAAAUUUUGAUUCAAAAAAUCGUUAACCCAACACAGGAACACUAAAGAAGAUUAAAAAUUAAAGAAGGAACUCGGCAAACACGAACUUCGCCUGUUUACCAAAAACAUCGCCUCUUGCUUAUCCUAUAUAAGAGGUCCUGCCUGCCCAGUGACAUUGUUUAACGGCCGCGGUAUUAUGACCGUGCAAAGGUAGCGUAAUCACUUGUCUUUUAAAUGAAGACCGGUAUGAAUGGCAAAACGAGAGUUCGACUGUCUCCUUUAAUCGAUCAGUGAAAUUGAUCUUUCCGUGCAGAAACGGAAAUUUAAAUAUAAGACGAGAAGACCCUAUGGAGCUUAAAAUAAAAACCACUUAUUAAGUAUUCAUAUCAAAAGGUUAACAAUUAAUAUAAUAAUUAUGGUUAAAUUUUUAGGUUGGGGCGACCGCGGAAUAAAACAAAACCUCCGAGAUGAAUAAACUAUUAAAUUUAAGGGUAACAACCCUAAAAAAUAAAAUAUUUAACAUAAUUGACCCAAUAUUUAUUGAUCAACGAACCAAGUUACCCUAGGGAUAACAGCGCAAUCCUUUCCUAGAGUCCUUAUCGACGAACGGGUUUACGACCUCGAUGUUGGAUCAGGACAUCCAAAUGGUGCAGCAACUAUUAAGGGUUCGUUUGUUCAACGAUUAAAGUCCUACGUGAUCUGAGUUCAGACCGGAGCAAUCCAGGUCAGUUUCUAUCUAUAUAUAAUUUCUUCUAGUACGAAAGGGCCGAAGAAAUGGAGCCAAUGUUUAAAUACGCUCUACUAUUAUUAUUGAAAACAACUAAAAUAAUAAAAAGUUAAAAUAAUACCCUAAAUAAGGGUUAG